rnacentral:rRNA from 1 species
UGGGGAAUAUUGGACAAUGGGCGAAAGCCUGAUCCAGCCAUGCCGCGUGUGUGAAGAAGGUCUUCGGAUUGUAAAGCACUUUAAGUUGGGAGGAAGGGCAUUAACCUAAUACGUUAGUGUUUUGACGUUACCGACAGAAUAAGCACCGGCUAACUCUGUGCCAGCAGCCGCGGUAAUACAGAGGGCGCAAGCGUUAAUCGGAAUUACUGGGCGUAAAGUGCGCGUAGGUGGUUUGUUAAGUUGGAUGUGAAAGCCCCGGGCUCAACCUGGGAACUGCAUCCAAAACUGGCAAGCUAGAGUACGGUAGAGGGUGGUGGAAUUUCCUGUGUAGCGGUGAAAUGCGUAGAUAUAGGAAGGAACACCAGUGGCGAAGGCGACCACCUGGACUGAUACUGACACUGAGGUGCGAAAGCGUGGGGAGCAAACA